rnacentral:rRNA from 1 species
UACGGAGGAUGCAAGCGUUAUCCGGAAUGAUUGGGCGUAAAGCGUCCGCAGGUGGCUAUGCAAGUCUGCUGUUAAAGAGUGAGGCUCAACCUCAUAAAAGCAGUGGAAACUACAAGGCUAGAGUGCGUUCGGGGCAGAGGGAAUUCCUGGUGUAGCGGUGAAAUGCGUAGAGAUCAGGAAGAACACCGGUGGCGAAAGCGCUCUGCUAGGCCGCAACUGACACUCAUGGACGAAAGCUAGGGGAGCGAAUGGG